GGCCUGUCCAUUAAUGACGGGCCAGGCCUGGGCCGGCAUUACCGCAAUUAGCCAGCAAUUAGCCAGGAGGGAGCGGCGCUGGGCUUAGCCCCCCAAAAGUUGCACAGGCAGCUGCAGGGAGGGGGACAGCCUGUGACAGGGGCUUCUGUAGGCACUGACUGCAUCCGUCUUUCUUGAGCUGCUUCUGCUCCCACCCCACCUCAGGCAGAAGGGCCCUGCUUGCCAAAAUACGGCCAUUGUGUCUGCACUGAGUUGCUCUGGAGAGCACAAGGCCUGAUUCUUCUCUGCCUUAUGUGGGGUUUAUCUCAGGUAACUUCUGUUCUCAGGAAGUUGCUGUGUGCUAACACUAUCCAAUCUGUCUCGGUGAUAAGAAAUCCUCUCUGCCCUGACCAGCACAGCCCAGUCCCAUCCCAGAGCCCAGUGGACUGCGGUCCCCAAAUGUUCCAAGGACCUUUGGAAUGGGCAUCACAGAGAUGUAGUGACUGCAGCACAUCCAUUAGAAAUGACCAGUGGCAGAUCCUUCUCUUGAGGAGGGACACACCAGCCUGCAGAGUGCUGUCCUGCCACUCCGAGGGAAGCAGUAGGUGUUUGCAAUUAGCACCUUCUCUCUGUGCUCAGAGGUUUGCUUCAAUUAUCAGUCAGCUGUAGGAGGAAUGAAUGUCCCUUCCUUGAAGAGCCCAGUGUCAAUGCCAGCAAACAACAGGAUAAUCCAGGCUUCCUCUCAGUUUCUGCCUUCUAAAUGAGGAUUUGGGCAAUGCAUCAGCUGACAGUGCCUGCCUGGAGCAAUGGGCUCUUCUGCUUUUGAUGCAUCUGAGCAACUUGAAACUAAUACCAGCAUGCAGUGUACAGUGAAUAGACCUUCACGUUGAUGAGGCAAAUCCUGCAGCACUUAAAAGCAAUCUGUGCUGAAGUGUCCCAUGUAUCUUCGUCUUCAAAGUGCAACACACUUAUGAAAAUUGCAGAUGCUGUGGUGCUAUUUGUCUGGAAGGAGACAUUACAGGUGACAUAUGAACCUGAUUUCUCAAACAGAUGAGGUCUGUGAGAGGAUUAAGGAAACAUCAAUAAAUUAAGAUGUAGAAUAAAGUUCCUGCUGUUU